rnacentral:SRP_RNA from 1 species
GCUGGGUGUGGUGGUGCACACCUGUAAUCCCAGCUACUUGGGAGGCUGAGGCAGGAGAAUUACUUGAACCCAGGAAGCAAAGGUUGCAGUGAGCCAAGAUCAUGCCACUGCAGUCCAGCCUGGGUGACAGAGUGAGACUCUGUCUCAA